rnacentral:pre_miRNA from 1 species
CAACUACUCCCUCUGUCCCAAAUUUCUUGUCUUAGAUUUGUCUAGACACGGAUGUAUCUAAUACUAAAAUGUGACUUGAUACAUCCGUAUCUAGACAAAUCUAAGACAAGAAUUUUGGGACGGAGGGAGUACUUU